CAGGACUUGCCUCCUCCUCUGUCGCAUCACCUGGGGUGACCCUUCGCCUUGGGAAUGGCUGUUGGGACGGGUUCCCAGGUUCGACCCUGCUCCCCGGCCUCGUGCUUCACUCGUGUUGCCUGGUUUCCCAGCCAUGCCUCCCUUGCCUCCCCAGAUGCCCAUCGCCCAGGAAACCAACCCCCUGCACAAAUUCCUCUUCGUUAGGAUAACUGGUGUUGCUUCUUAUUCCUGGCUGGAGCUUGACUGAUAAAGGGGCCAGAGAGAACUUUCCUGAAGUCACCAACCACGUUUUAUUUGGCUCCAUUUGCAAGCACUCAGCACAAUCCCAGCAGGUGACAGUGCCCAAACAAGGAAUCUUCCAUCCCUGGAAGGCAGGAAAUAUACCCCAAAAAGAGGACUCUGGUGCCUACUAUGUGUUCAGUUAAUGAACAAGUAAAUGAACUGAUCAAGUAAGACCAACUCAGAACGGACAGAGGCGUAGAGACCUUCACCUGCUGCCUUGUUCACCUGCUGCCUUCACCUGUCACCUUCACCACCUGCUGCCUUCACCUGCCGCUGUUGCCUACUGCUCGCUUGACAGUAGGUGAGCCUUUGGGCCAGGUCACUUGUGAUGCAAAUAAACUCUAAUUGCACCCCAA